rnacentral:lncRNA from 10 species
UCCUCUGAGCACAGUUUGAAAACCUUUGUCCUAGAGCUGGGGUCCCCAGCUCCAUGCCGCAGAUCUGCUAGGAUCUGGUAAAUCUGUUAGGAAGCAGGCUGCACACCAGGAGGUGAGUGUCGGGAGAGCAAGCAUUAUCGCCUGAGCUCCGCCUCCUGUCAGAUCAGCAAUGAUGGCGUUAGAUUCUCACAGGAGCGUGAACCUUCUUGUGAACUGCGCAUGUAUGCAAGGGACCUAGGUUGCCCACUUGUUGUGAGAAUCUAAUGCCUGAUGAUCUGAGGUGGAACAGUUUCAUCCUGAAACCAUCCCUAUCUCCCUGUGAACCACAGCCUUCCCCCGCAACCCCGGUGGAAAAUAUUAUCUUCCACAAAACCAUUCCCUGGUGCCAAAAAGGUCAGGGACCAGUUUAAAGUCCAUUCCUGUUCUAAAAGUGCAAUAACAUUAACACGCAAUUGGUUUGAUGUGAACUAUUUUGUAUCAUGUAAUGACAUAUAAGCUAGUUUAUGCACAAAGGGGGUAUUUUCUAAAAUAUCAGAAAUAUUGAUAAUCAUGCAUGGCUGCCUUUCAUAAAGCAUCUACUAAGCACUGCAUCUAAUCCUUAUAACCCCCCAAUAAGAUGGGUGUUAUUCUGUUUCACAGAAUCAGGAACACCAAAUAGUUUAUUCAUAAUUACACACUUACACUGACUCAUGGACCAGAUUCUAAUCCCAAGUUUAUUUUCAAAACCCAUAAUUUUCCCCCAAUACCACACUGCACUUUUAGCAAGAUUUUCUCUCUCAUUCAUUUUAUUUUAUUUUUUUAGGUUUCUUGUUGGAUUUGUUGUGGUUUUUUUUUUUUAAUCUAGAGCCCUGUAAGAACAACAACAAAAAAAGCAGAGUAUGAAUCUAACUCGUAUAUUAUGUCAAUAUUCAAUUGGAUAUUUUUAAGUUGGCAUCUCUUCCCCAGUAUAUAGGUAUUAUUUCAUUAAAUAGCAUUAGCACAUUGAAAAUACCACCUAUUAUUUUCUACCUAUUGUUACUUUGUAUCACAAAAUUAUAAAUGAUACGUAUGUUGUAGCAAUUAAAAAUUUUUAAGAGAUGAAUUCUACGGAAAAUGGCAGCAAUUUAAGUGAAUUAUUUCCAUAGGGGGAAAAAAAAUUUAAAAAAAAUAGGUUGGGUGUAGUGGCUCACGCCUGUAAUCCCAACAGUUUCAGAGGCCGAGGUGGGAGGAUUGCUUGAGGCCAGGAUUUGGAGACCAGCCCGGGCAACAUAGACCCCAUUUCUACAUAAAUUUUUCAUUAAAAAAUAAUGAAAUAGCAUUCUAUUAACUGUUAAUGAUGGUGGAAGGAACUAACUGAAGAAAUGACAAUGGGAAAAAUUGGAAGAAGAAAGUGAUCAGC